UUCUAAGUCCACAUGAGGUCUCCAUUUUCUCCUCUACUAGGAGCAGCAGAUUACCAAAGAAAGAAAAGGUAGAGAUAUGAACGUGCUUCCCAUUCACUACUCCCUACCUGUUUCUUGCAGUCGUGUAUUCUGGGACUUUCCUCAUGGUGGGACCUUUCACACAACCCUCCUCUUCAAGCUGGGCAAGCCUGUUCUUGUCUCUCUUGUGCUUCAGGAGGAAGUACUGGAGAAGAGACAAACGCAUCAGCUAUUUGAAAAAGCAAGCCCAGAAAACAACUGACAAACCAAACAAAUCUGGGAGGCUCAGCAUAUACAUUUUUCUCUUCUAGAAGCUCCAAAGUGCUAAUAUAACAUUUACAUUUAAAUCUGGCGACAUUCAAAUGAAGAAAGCCAAGCGGGAAGAUACUGUCUCUGGGUCUGCAUCCCUGAAGCUUUGUUUUACUGUUGGAGAUGAACAAAUGUAAAUAAUUUAAAGCAUCGCCCCAGUAGUAUUUUCCUCAUUUAAGUUUUAUUUCUAUGUAAAUUUACCUCAGGCCUGGAAAGGUUUGUUUCUGGCCUAGGAUAAAUGGCUGUUUUAUUGCCAGAGUCCAGGCUGGCGAAUUUCCCCAGACACUGGCUAGCUCCUGGGUGGCAGAGUUUGGCUGAAAGACAUCAACGCAAACAUGGUCUCUUUUUCCUUUGCCUGAACUACUAUUCAAAUGAAGAUUAUUAAAGAGAUCUAAAUGUGAAAAUGUUAUAUACUAGCAACAGACACAUCCCCCAAAUGCAUGCACAUGGCCUAAAUUAGACCACCGAAGUAGGCGGUGUCCAGCCUAAAAAUUAUAAGAAAGGAAUUGGAUAAUGAGAGGCAGCAGUCCGUGAAGCCAGCCCACCGGCAGAGCAAGUGCAGCAUCCCUAGAAGGGUUUCCUAGAGGGAGAAAUGGAAGCAUGUGGCACAGGAGUGGAAAGUCGCCCGUUUGUUUCUUUCCCUUCUUUCCCAUCAGAUUCAUUUCCUCUCAACUCCUCUGUAAGAACAAUAGUACUUGACUCACAAGCCCAGGUCCCAUUAGCUUCUGAGGUCACGUUUUCUUUGAAAACAUUAUCUUAUUUAUUAAUACUUUUAAUAGAGAAGCACUACAUAAACAGUCUACCCAAUAAAAUAAUCAAAAAUA
rnacentral:lncRNA from 1 species